rnacentral:rRNA from 1 species
GGAAGGUGCAAGCGUUAAUCGGAAUUACUGGGGCGUAAAGCGCGCGUAGGCGGCUAGAUAAGUCGGGUGUGAAAGCCCUGGGGCUCAACCUGGGGAACUGCAUUCGAUACUGUCUAGCUAGAGUGUGGUAGAGGGAGGCGGAAUUCCGCAUGUAGCGAUGAAAUGCGUAGAGAUGCGGAGGAACACCAAUGGCGAAGGCAGCCUUCUGGACCAACACUGACGCUGAGGCGCGAAAGCGUGGGGAGCAAACAGGAUUAGAUACCCUGGUAGUCCACGCCGUAAACGAUGUCAACUAGCCGUUGGGAGCAUUUUGGCUCUUGGUGGCGCAGCUAACGCGAUAAGUUGACCGCCUGGGGAGUACGGUCGCAAGAUUA